rnacentral:rRNA from 1 species
UACGGGGGGGGCAAGCGUUGUUCGGAAUUACUGGGCGUAAAGGGUUCGUAGGUGGCUAACUAAGUCAGACGUGAAAUCCCUCAGCUCAACUGGGGAACUGCGUCUGAUACUGGUCGGCUUGAGUGCAGGAGAGGAACGCGGAAUUCCAGGUGUAGCGGUGAAAUGCGUAGAUAUCUGGAGGAACACCGGUGGCGAAGGCGGCGUUCUGGACUGCAACUGACACUGAGGAACGAAAGCCAGGGGAGCAAACGGG